rnacentral:sRNA from 1 species
GGCUUGCAUUUGGGUAGCACGCAACGCCACAGCGGUAUCAGUCGAAAAGUACGGGUUACCAGUACCGCCCGCAAAAAUGACAAUGUCAUGGUUUUUAAAGGCAUCAUCAAUCGUGGCCUGGGACACAAUGUGGGUCGCUAAACUAGGACAGCUCACUGCACUCAACAGGGUGCUGUUAAGUUUAUGACUAUCAAACUUAGCCUUUAAAAAAGCGCCGUUAAUAACCGUGGCCAUAAUGCCCAAGUGGUGCCCUGCUAUUUCGGUAAUGUUGUAGUCACUACAAGACUUACCGCGCAUAAUGUUGCCCCCACCAAUCACAAUGCCUAUUUGGUAGUUGGGUACUAGUUGUUUUAGUUGAGCGAUGACAGUUUCUAAAAAUUGGUUGGAAAACGGUUCGGAACUAUCAGCGCUCAUGCCAGCACCGCUUAGUUUGAUUAGGAUCUUUAGGCGCAUCUUAUUUUUUCAUUUGCGCACUUACUUCACUAGCGAAGUCAACUGCUUCUUUGACAAUGCCUUCACCAACUUCAAAGCGCACAAAAUGGAUUACUUUACUGUUCUUUUCCUUUAAGAAUUGACCAACUGUUUUGGAUUCAUCGACCAAGUACUUUUGGUUUACCAGACAAAUGUCAAUUAAGAGUUUGUUCACGCGUCCAGCAAUAGUUUUGUCUAAGAACGCUGCUUUCUUCGGAUUGUCUUGGACUUCUAGUUUGGCUUGGGACUUAAUGAUGCUGGUUUCGUUAGCUAACCAUGUUUGAUCCACAUUGUCCUGAUCAAUGAACUGCGGUGAGUUAGCGGCAAUGUGCAUUGCUAAGUGUUUACCAUCUUGUUCAUCAAACUUGCCUUCCACUUCCAAGAUUACGCCAAUCCGUUUGUUAGCGUGGAGGUAGCUAAAGAUGUGGUUAGUUUUGCUUUCAAACACCAUUAAGCGGCGCAACACAAUCUUUUCAUCAGUUUUGGAAGCGACUAAAGCCAAACGUUCUGCUACCUUUUCUUUGCCUUGGAGUUCGUACUGGGUUACUUCU